GAGUUUGAUCCUGGCUCAGGACGAACGCUGGCGGCGUGCUUAACACAUGCAAGUCGAACGGUGAUGUCAGAGCUUGCUCUGGCGGAUCAGUGGCGAACGGGUGAGUAACACGUGAGUAACCUGCCCCCGACUCUGGGAUAACUGCUAGAAAUGGUAGCUAAUACCGGAUAUGACGAUUGGCCGCAUGGUCUGGUCGUGGAAAGAAUUUCGGUUGGGGAUGGACUCGCGGCCUAUCAGGUUGUUGGUGAGGUAAUGGCUCACCAAGCCUACGACGGGUAGCCGGCCUGAGAGGGUGACCGGCCACACUGGGACUGAGACACGGCCCAGACUCCUACGGGAGGCAGCAGUGGGGAAUAUUGCACAAUGGGCGAAAGCCUGAUGCAGCAACGCCGCGUGAGGGAUGACGGCCUUCGGGUUGUAAACCUCUUUUAGUAGGGAAGAAGCGAAAGUGACGGUAC
rnacentral:rRNA from 1 species